rnacentral:rRNA from 1 species
UAAGGAAUAUUGGUCAAUGGGGGCAACCCUGAACCAGCCAUGCCGCGUGCAGGAUGACGGCCCUAUGGGUUGUAAACUGCUUUUAUACCAGAGAAAACCCGGGUACGUGUACCCGGUUGAUAGUAUGGUAAGAAUAAGCAUCGGCUAACUUCGUGCCAGCAGCCGCGGUAAGACGAAGGAUGCAAGCGUUAUCCGGAUUCAUUGGGUUUAAAGGGUGCGUAGGCGGACUUGUAAGUCAGUGGUGAAAUCUCUUUGCUUAACAAAGAAACUGCCAUUGAUACUGCAGGUCUAGAGUAUAGAUGACGUUGGCGGAAUAUGACAUGUAGUGGUGAAAUACUUAGAUAUGUCAUAGAACACCGAUUGCGAAGGCAGCUAACGAAACUAUAACUGACGCUGAGGCACGAAAGUGCGGGGAUCAAACAGGAUUAGAUACCCGUGUAGUCC